AAUAUGAAUAUAUUUCAAAAAAACUAAAAAAAACCUGUCUCCACGCCGAAGCCACUUCCAAGCACACCCAACGCCUCACUUAUCUUACAUCCUACGUCUCACUUUUACCGAACUACCCUUCUCUUACCACUGACAACACGGCCUCUCAGGUCCAAGGCAACCGCAUCAUUUUUCUCUCUCUCUCUACAGCGCAGUCCCAGUCCCGUACGCGAAGGCGCGGAAAGGCUCCACCGCCUCGCCUGUCGGCCUCCAGCGACGACCGCACCACCCCUCGCACCACUGCACUGACUGACUUGUGGGGCGAGGCUCCCGGGCCCGCUUGCAAGUGAUGCGGGUGCAAAUUUGCAGGUUCGCUGGGAGACGACGUGGCGCCGCGCGCGGCGCGUAGCUGUGCAGGGGGUGGUGGCGAGUAGGGACUAGGGAGGGUCGUGGGUGGGCCCGGAUUGUUUUUUUCCUUAUUUUACGUGGUUCAUUCCGCCGUUUAAAAGGGAGCCGGACCGCCACGCCGUGGCUUUCGUUCGUCUCCACGCCCCUCUCAUUCGCACCGCUCCCACCCACAUCCUCUUCGCCUCUCUGAGUCUCUCUCUCUCUCUCUCUCUGCACGCCUCCGCUCCGCGUGUGCUUCCGUUCGGCGGUGGUUUCAUCUCGCGGAGGCAGCAGACCACAGCGCCAGCAGCCAUGACCGCGGCCGACGGGGAGUCCUGCGCGGUGGUCGCGACGGCCGCCGACAUCAUCUGCUCUCUCCGUGGUGCGGACCUCGCCGGCUGGACCCCGCCGUGGCGCAAGCACGAGGCCGCCUGCGACGGCGUCCGUGAGGAGGAGGGCGGUGGCGGCGACGAGGCGCGUGAUCUGGCCUGGCCGGCGGUGGCGCGCGGGAAGCGCUCGCGGUCCCGGCGCGAGUCCCCGUCGGCCUCGGGCUCCGCCGCCUCCGCCGACGCGAAGAAGAAGAAGAAGGCGAGGCGAGGGGUCCGCGGCAGCCCCGCGUCACCCCUCGACUACAGCGGCGUGUCCGGGUCCGGCGCGUCCACCAGCGGCGGCGAGGACGGUGCCUUCUGCUUCCAGCCAGAGCCAGCGUUCCCGCCGGCCGCCGCGUGCCAGCUCGCGGAGCCCGCCGUGCUUCCACCCCCGCCCCCGCCCCCCAGCGAGGUGGGUGGCCUCGCCGGACGGCGGACGAUCCUCCCGGUGCCGCCACCUCGGCCCGCCGGACAGCGGGCGCGGAAGAAGAUGAGGCUCCCGGAGAUCCAGCAGAUGGUGCGGUCGCUGUCGGUGGAGAACGAUGCCCUCCGCAAGACGAUGAAGGAGCUGCAGAGGGCUUGCACGGCGCUGUCCCAAGAAAACGGCAAGCUAGAGACGAGGCUCGAUCAGUCCACUACGCUAAACGAAGCAGUCUCCGUGGAGAACAAGGGGAAGCCGCAGCCCCAGCGUCAGCGCGCAGCUGAGCAGGAAGCUCCGAGCGGCUUCGUGCUCCCUGACCUCAACCUCCCGGCAGACGUCUGACGGCUGCCUGAAUCUGUCGAUCGGUGGCCAGAUCGAGCUAUAGCACGCUAACCUCAUAGCUAAACUGUACAUAGAAGAAGAAGCUGCGCCAGAAGGAGGGGGGUGGGGUUCUGAACGGCCACACUUACCAGGAUACUGAGGCAGAAGAAGAACGGAGGUUAUCUUUGUGUCAUAAGUUGUCGACGUUUAGGGUUUAGAGCCGUCGUGAUCGUAUCCUCCGGCCUGAACAACGUUGUUUUAUGUUCAGAGCGGAGGACCCGACUUUUACGUUUACCUCGCUCACGUUUUCUGUCGACGACGUUCUUUAGUAGUGCCCCCGCGCAUCGGUGUGGAUGGACGCGCAGUGGGAUAUAUAUGUGUUUCCAGGUAGUUGGAGAUUCGAAACGAACCAGUGAUGUAGAUUUGUUUCAUCUAAAUAUAUGCUAUAGUUCAAAACU